UCCUGACCGUGCGAAGGUAGCGUAAUCACUUGUCUUUUAAAUGAAGACCUGUAUGAAUGGCAUAACGAGGGUUUAACUGUCUCCUUCCCCCAGUCAAUGAAAUUGAUCUGCCCGUGCAGAAGCGGACAUAAAAACAUAAGACGAGAAGACCCUAUGGAGCUUUAGGCCAAGGACCAAUCAUGUUAAGAGACUACAAAGCCAAAAAGAACAAAAAAGUCAACAAACCAAAUGCAACCUCGUCCAAGUGCCUUCGGUUGGGGCGACCACGGGGAAAAAAGAAACCCCCACAUGGAAUGGAAAUUAUUUCCUUAAACCAAGAAAAACAAUUCUAAGCAACAGAACAUCUGACCAAUAUAUGACCCAGGAAAACACAUCCUGAUCAAUGAACCAAGUUACCCUAGGGAUAACAGCGCAAUCCUUUCCCAGAGCCCAUAUCGACGAAAGGGUUUACGACCUCGAUGUUGGAUCAGGACAUCCUAAUGGUGCAGCCGCUA
rnacentral:rRNA from 1 species